rnacentral:rRNA from 1 species
UACGUAGGGUGCAAGCGUUAAUCGGAAUUACUGGGCGUAAAGCGUGCGCAGGCGGUUAUGCAAGACAGAUGUGAAAUCCCCGGGCUCAACCUGGGAACUGCAUUUGUGACUGCAUGGCUAGAGUACGGUAGAGGGGGGUGGAAUGCCACGUGUAGCAGUGAAAUGCGUAGAGAUGUGGCGGAACACCGAUGGCGAAGGCAGCCCCCUGGGCUAAGAUUGACGCUCAGGCACGAAAGCGUGGGGAGCAAACAGG